GUGGGGAAUUUUGCGCAAUGGGCGAAAGCCUGACGCAGCAACGCCGCGUGUGUGACGAAGGCCCUAGGGUUGUAAAGCACUGUGGGAAGGGAAGAAAAAACGGGGGUUGUACCCCGUCUUGACGGUACCUUGUUAGAAAGCACCGGCUAACUCCGUGCCAGCAGCCGCGGUAAUACGGAGGGUGCAAGCGUUGUUCGGAAUUAUUGGGCGUAAAGGGCGUGUAGGUGGCUAAGCAAGUCUGGUGUGAAAGCCCACGGCUCAACCGUGGAACUGCAUUGGAAACUGCAUAGCUCGAGUGUUGGAGGGGGUCGCGGAAUUCCCGGUGUAGAGGUGAAAUUCGUAGAUAUCGGGAGGAACACCAGUGGCGAAGGCGGCGACCUGGCCAAUCACUGACACUGAGACGCGAAAGCGUGGGGAGCAAACAGGAUUAGAAACCCUAGUAGUCC
rnacentral:rRNA from 1 species